UGUAGGGAAAACACUCAAAUGUGCAUGACAGUGCGUUCUCCAGGACCAGGAUUGGGAACUUCAUCCAGUUAACCUUAACAUGUUCAGGAAAGCUGGAUAUACAGUAAAACACUACUCUAUUCUACUUUCGUGUUUAUCGAUCGCAAGUGGAGGCAGCACAUAAGGUUUUACUUUUACGGACCAAAGAUGGAGACGACCCGUUAUACUGUCACAUCCCACAAUGCCGUGCAAGAUGAGUGAUAUGAUAUGACGGGAGCCUGGAGCUUGUCCCAGGGAACUCGGGGCACAAGAUGGAGGACAAACUGGACGGGCACAAUCACACACAUAGUCACACACCCAUUCGCACACUACGGACAAUAUCGGAAAUGCCUAUCAGCCUACAACGCAUGACUUUGAACUAGGGGAGGAAACCGGAGUACCGGAGGAAACCCUCGAAAGCAGGAUUCGAUUCCCCAACCCCGAAAGUCCGAGGCAACGUGCUAAAAUAAUGAUUGACUGCAUGGCCCAGACCUCUGUUACCACUAAGCUGAUCAUUUUCCAAUAUCAGUACAUCCUUGUACAUGUUUUAUUCCAUGCAUAGUACAACAAUUCACCACCAAUUUUUACAGUGAAAAUCUAGCUUCAUUUCCUGUUGUGGAACUUCCACAAAACAGGUUGGUUCCUGUUAUCCUGUUAACCGUUCCUAUUUUUCUUUCUCAUCUUACAGAGAA